rnacentral:lncRNA from 1 species
ACCACCAGAUUGAUGAAUAUUUUACUUGUAGACGAUAAAGAACAACAAAGCACGACACAAAAAAGUUGUGCGAGUCUGGUACGGAUUGAACCUAACUCCAUCUCAAAACCAUAGUUUAAUGGGGAGGAUUGUCCAAUCCUAUAUAAACUCUCACACCAGAUUCAUGACCACUGGAUUCAUGACUUCCGAUGUGGGACUCCAAGUUAGGUUCGUGAAGACCAACUUGCACAUGGAAAUCGGAAACAGAGUCGCCGUUUUGUUGUGGUUGUGGCAAUGCAUAUUUUAGUAGUGAUUUGUCAGCUCGUUAUUCAACAUGGUAGAUCGAUAAAUAUAAGUCUACAGUUUAGAUUUAAAAAUGAGGGGACUAAAAUAGCAUUUAAGAGAAUUUUAAAAGGCGAAAAUACGAAAUUAGUCUCGAGAGAGUUAUCACCUUGCAUCCUGCAAAUGGAAGUCUUCUCAGCAGCAGGAAAACAGACUGAUUGAGGAGAAGGCAAAUUGUCAGAGGUACCUUGAGGAGAAGGAGGGUUGUUAGUAGUGGAAAAGAGAGAAGUGAAGGAAAUUCCACUCUUCAUUUCAGAAGACUUGGCAUUGGUAGCAGCCAUCAACAUUAUUUCAUGC